GCCAAUGGCCAUACCACUCUGAGAGCUGCCAGUCUCAUCUGAUUUGGGAAUCUCAGCAGAGUCGGGCCCAGUUAGUACUUGGAUGGGAGAUGGCCUGGGAAUACUGGGUGCUGUAGGCU
rnacentral:rRNA from 1 species